rnacentral:rRNA from 1 species
AUGGUAGAAGGAUGUGCUGCAGGAUAUCGUCACACGUGGGUCAUCGCCCGUGAAGGAGUGAUGCUAGUGAGAGCCAUGUGCGCCACUGGCCGCCAUCCAGUGGGAGCUAUGGGCGCCGGGUGCAUGCCGGUGGCUCGUGGGAGCAAUGGCCACGCUGGUCGCCGCCACGUGGGAGCUAUGGGCGUUGGGUGCCGGUGGCUCGUGGGAGCCAUGGGCGCGCUGGUCGCCGCCACGUGGGAGCUAUGGGUGUCGGGUGCCGGUGGCUGUGGGAGCCAUGGGCGCGUUGGUCGCCGCCACGUGGGAUAUAUGGGUGUCGGGUGCCGAUUGCUCGUGGGAGCCAUGGGCGUGCUGGUCGCCGCCACAUGGGAACUAUGGGCGUCGGGUGACGGCGGCUUGUGGGAGCCAUGGGUGCACUGGUCGCCCCCGAGUGGGUGCUAUUGGCGCUAG